UACGUAGGGUGCGAGCGUUGUCCGGAAUUAUUGGGCGUAAAGGGCUCGUAGGCGGUUUGUCGCGUCGGGAGUGAAAACACGGGGCUUAACCCCGUGCCUGCUUCCGAUACGGGCAGACUAGAGGUAUGCAGGGGAGAACGGAAUUCCUGGUGUAGCGGUGAGAUGCGCAGAUAUCAGGAGGAACACCGGUGGCGAAGGCGGUUCUCUGGGCAUUACCUGACGCUGAGGAGCGAAAGUGUGGGGAGCGAACAGG
rnacentral:rRNA from 1 species